CAGUCAUAUUAUGUUGAAACAUUGGUACUCAUCCGAUCUCCGAAGUUAAGCAACGUUGAACUGGUCUGUACCUAGUUGAGUGACCACUCGGAAAUACCAAGUACU